rnacentral:rRNA from 1 species
GAGUUUGAUCCUGGCUCAAAUUGAACGCUGGCGGCAUGCCUUACACAUGCAAGUCGAACGGCAGCAUGAUCUAGCUUGCUAGAUUGAUGGCGAGUGGCGAACGGGUGAGUAAUACAUCGGAACGCGCCCUGUAGUGGGGGAUAACUAGUCGAAAGAUUAGCUAAUACCGCAUACGACCUGAGGGUGAAAGUGGGGGACCGCAAGGCCUCAUGCUAUAGGAGCGGCCGAUGUCUGAUUAGCUAGUUGGUGGGGUAAAGGCCCACCAAGGCGACGAUCAGUAGCUGGUCUGAGAGGACGAUCAGCCACACUGGGACUGAGACACGGCCCAGACUCCUACGGGAGGCAGCAGUGGGGAAUUUUGGACAAUGGGCGAAAGCCUGAUCCAGCAAUGCCGCGUGUGUG